UAGAAAUGUGCUACAACCACUCGAGGUCUGCAAUCAGAUUCCUAUUUAGAUGUUGUUGAGAGGUAAGUACAACUAGUUCUCAUUAAUAUUUCAUGUCCUAUGUGCCAUACUUACACUGCCAUUUUGUAGUCAUUUGUCCUACAUCUAAAGAUUAAUUUAUAAUCAGAUAUGUGUAAUCUGAUAUGUGCAUUAAACUUGAUUAUACCUGACUGUGUCUUCACAA
rnacentral:lncRNA from 1 species